GACGAACGCUGGCGGCGUGCUUAACACAUGCAAGUCGAACGGAAAGGCCCUGCUUUUGUGGGGUGCUCGAGUGGCGAACGGGUGAGUAACACGUGAGUAACCUGCCCUUGACUUUGGGAUAACUUCAGGAAACUGGGGAUAAUACCGGAUAGGAGCUCCUGCUGCAUGGUGGGGGUUGGAAAGUUUCGGCGGGUGGGGAUGGACUCGCGGCUUAUCAGCUUGUUGGUGGGGUAGUGGCUUACCAAGGCAUAGACGGGUAGCCGGCCUGAGAGGGUGACCGGCCACAUUGGGACUGAGAUACGGCCCAGACUCCUACGGGGGGCAGCGGUGGGGAGUAUUGCACAAUGGGCGGAAGCCUGAUGCAGCAACGCCGCGUGCGGGAUGACGGCCUUCGGGUUGUAAACCGCUUUCGCCUGUGACGAAGCGUGAGUGACGGUAAUGGGUAAAGAAGCACCGGCUAACUACGUG
rnacentral:rRNA from 1 species